ACUCCUCAUUGUAAACAGACUGU
rnacentral:piRNA from 1 species